UACGUAGGGGGCAAGCGUUGUCCGGAUUUAUUGGGCGUAAAGAGCGUGUAGGCGGCCAGACAGGUCUGCUGUGAAAACUCGAGGCUCAACCUCGAGACGCCGGUGGAAACCGUCUGGCUAGAGUCCGGAAGAGGAGAGUGGAAUUCCUGGUGCAGCGGUGAAAUGCGCAGAUAUCAGGAAGAACACCCGUGGCUAAGGCGGCUCUCUAGUACGGUACUGACGCUGAGACGCGAAAGCGUGGGGAGCGAACAGG
rnacentral:rRNA from 1 species